rnacentral:lncRNA from 7 species
CACCUAGAUGUCUCGUUCUGAAUAUCAAGAGACCUGAUGCCUUUUAGGUCCUCAUAUGGACCGAUAAGUUUGUUUGCCUCCUCUUCGAUCUCCUUCACAAAGUCUUUGACAGACCUCCCCCUUAAAUCAGCAUAAAGGGAGGGCUCAACACUGCCCUUGCAAGGUCUCCAACCAUCCAUUCCAACUUAAGGGCCAGGCUCCAUGUGCCACAAACUCUUCGACAAGGUCACACCCUUUGCUGACAAUAGUUGUGUAACCAAAAGCCUUAUCAUUAGGGCCAUUCGCCCCCCACGCUGAAUCUUGGAAAGGACGUGUAAUCAUACAAAGUCAUCUUGCUAGCAUGCGGCCAACAAGAUACCCCAUCGCCUUCAACCUUUACAUAAAAUCAAUAUUCAAGCCAGCUGCCACAAUGAUCCUUGGCAUAGGGAACUAACUCAGUCACCGCCUCCCUGGUCUUCCUAGUUUUCAUUGUGAAUGUGCAACUCCCAAACUGUUGC